rnacentral:rRNA from 1 species
GCAAAUGCGGUGAUCGGGUUGUGUGGCACGUGCGACGCCGCCCUCUUGUUCGAGAAGCCGGCGGUAGUCGAAGCAGAGAUCCGGGGGAUUAGGGAAACGUGCGGCCCAUGGCUGCAUAGGCCGUGAUGGGUCGAUGGCCAGAUCGGCAGGAUGGUUGUGUGUUGAACCAAUAGUCAUGUUCUCGGGUUCUCCAUGAGUAGAGAACCUGAGAAUGAUCAAUUGCAACAGGCGUGAAGUGGUUGCUAACUACCACCCGCCGGCACCUACAGGAUCUGAGAUACCUGUGGGUGCCGGCUUACAGCGAUAAGGUCGUCAGGGCUUACACCGCCAGCGCGCGCUCACGCAGCUCGCUGUUGAGGAUGCGGUCGUUCUCGCUGUAAUCGACCGGGCAGUCGAUCACGUGCACACCUGGGGUCUUGAUGCAGUGCUCCAGCAGCGGCAGCAGGCCUUCGGCGCUUUCCACGCGGUGGCCGUUGGCGCCGUAGGCUUCGGCAUACUUGACGAAGUCCGGGUUGCCGUAGUCCAGGCCGAAAUCGGUGAAGCCCAUGUUGGCCUGCUUCCAGCGGAUCAUGCCGUAGCCGUCGUCACGCAGGAUCACCACGGUGAUGUGCAUGCCCAGACGUACUGCAGUCUCCAAUUCCUGGCUGUUCAUCAUGAAGCCGCCGUCACCACACACCGAGAUUACCGGGCGGUCCGGGUGCACCAGAUGCGCAGCCAUUGCCGAUGGCAGGCCGGCGCCCAUGGUCGCCAGGGCGUUGUCCAGCAGCACGGUGUUUGGCUUGUGCGCUUUGUAGUUGCGGGCGAACCAGAUCUUGUAGAUGCCGUUGUCCAGGGCGACGAUGCCUUCGGACGGCAGUACACGACGGAUGUCAGCCACCAUGCGCUGUGGGUAGACCGGGAAGCGGUCGUCGUCGGCGCCUUCGGCGAUCUGUGCUUCGUUGGCUUCACGGAUGGCCAUCAGGCGGGUGAAGUCCCAGUGCGACGUGUCGUUCAGUGCUUCACUGAUCUGCCACACGGCGUUGGCGAUGUCGCCGAUCACUUCUACUUGCGGGAAGUACACAGCAUCGACUUCGGCAGAGCGGAAGUUGAUGUGGAUGACUUCGGUGCCGCCACGGACCAUGAAGAACGGCGGCUUCUCGAUCACAUCGUGGCCGAUGUUGAUGAUCAGGUCGGCGGCUUCGACGGCGCGGUGAACGAAGUCGCCCGACGACAGCGCAGCGUUGCCGAGGAAGCGCGGGUGGCGCUCGUCGACCACGCCUUUACCCAUGUCGCCUUGGUGAGCCUUUACCUCACCAACUAGCUAAUCCUACGCAGGCUCAUCUGAUAGCGCGAGGCCCGAAGGUCCCCCGCUUCCCCCUUAUAGGGCGUAUGCGGUAUUAGCAUGAGUUUCCCCAUGUUGUCCCCCACUACCAGGUAGAUUCCUACGCGUUACUCACCCGUCCGCCGCUCUACUCAGUCCGAAGACCUUUCGCGCUCGACUUGCAUGUGUUAGGCCUGCCGCCAGCGUUCAAUCUGAGCCAGGAUCAAAC